AGCAAAAUGCCACAGCAAUCCAUAUCCACAACAUCACAAUUAACAGGUUCAGUAUAAGAUUUACCGAUCGAGAUAGGCACGCUGCAGAUUCUGUUGACCUCAAUUGUCGGUCCUUCCUUAAUCCAUCCGACUUUGUAUGGUGAGGGGUGAGACUGUGUAGGCAACUAUAAUUUUUUCACCAAUUGCUUAGCUAUCAGAUUCUCACAACUGCAGCUAUCUAUGAUUAGCCUGCAAAUUGCCUCUCCUACUCGACACUUUGCCUGGAAAAUCUUUCUCCUUUGUGUCUCGUCCUCCUGUUUU
rnacentral:lncRNA from 1 species